CAACUCUGGUUUCUCUUCAGAUCAUAUAAAUCUUUUGCCUUUUACUAAAGAUUUCAGUGGAGAAGAAUAGUAUUGAGUUUUAACUCAAUUUUUUGAGGUCUCAUGUUUCACCAGACC